UACAGAGGGUGCGAGCGUUGUUCGGAAUUAUUGGGCGUAAAGCGCAUGUAGGCGGCUUGUUAAGUCACGUGUGAAAGCCCCAGGCUCAACCUGGGAAGUGCGCGUGAAACUGGCGAGCUUGAAUCCUGGAGAGGGUGGCGGAAUUCCGGGUGUAGUGGUGGAAUGCGUAGAGAUCCGGAGGAACACCAGCGGCGAAGGCGGCAUCCUGGACUGGUCCUGACACUCAGGAGCGAAAGCGUGGGGAGCGAUCCGG
rnacentral:rRNA from 1 species